rnacentral:rRNA from 1 species
UACGAAGGGGGCUAGCGUUGCUCGGAAUCACUGGGCGUAAAGCGCACGUAGGCGGCUUUCUAAGUCAGGGGUGAAAUCCUGGAGCUCAACUCCAGAACUGCCUUUGAUACUGGAGAGCUUGAGUCCGGAAGAGGUGAGUGGAACUCCGAGUGUAGAGGUGAAAUUCGUAGAUAUUCGGAAGAACAUCAGUGGCGAAGGCGAAUCUCUGGACAGUUACUGACACUGAGGCACGAAGGCCAGGGGAGCAAACGGG